GUGAACAGCAAGACUGCAUCAUCGGUUACAUUAUCCUGGAUAGGGUUUACAUCAGCCACCAGCUAUCGGAUAUCUUACAUCAGUCAAGAUAAUACAGGGACCGGUGUCCUAAGCUCAACUACCCCAAUUUCAGUAGUUACUGGUCUGCAACCUCAGAUGACUUAUACAUUCUCUGUAGUAGCUACUGUAGGCACAUCCGAAAUAAAUGUAGGGUCAGUGACUGAAACUACAGAUACCGUGUCGACUAUGGCUGUGAACGCCACACCCGGUACUAAUACAAUUGACUUGUCAUGGGCCAGCAUUCCUGAUACUGUUUUGUACCAGAUCUUCUAUCAGCCUCUUGUUCCAGGUGGUAUGGCCAAUCAGAGGAACUCCUUCCAAAAUUUCUUCACCUUAACUGACCUGCUCCCAGUGACGACGUAUAACAUUACGGUAUAUGCAUUCACAAGCAGCUUAGGCACGUCUGCCCUGGUGACAGUAGGGACUGUCAUUACGUCAACGGUCACAGUUCUAAAACCACCAGAAAACUUUAUCUUAUACCAGCUGAGUGUUUCAUCCAUUUUGCUCCGAUGGGAUCCACCAUCACCACCUGAUAAUUCCUUCGGAA